rnacentral:rRNA from 1 species
AGAGUUUGAUUCUGGCUCAGAACGAACGCUAGCGGCGUGCUUUAGACAUGCAAGUUGAACGGAAUUUAGCUUCGGCUAAAUUUAGUAGCAAACGGGUGAGUAAUAUAUAAGAACUUGCCUUUUAGUGGGGGAUAACUAAUGGAAACAUUAGCUAAUACCGCAUAUUCUCGAGAGAGGAAAGAUUUAUCGCUAAAAGAGAGGCUUAUAUCAGAUUAGAUAGUUGGUGAGGUAAUGGCUCACCAAGUCGAUGAUCUGUAGCUGGUUCGAGAGGAUGAACAGCCACACUGGAACUGAGAUACGGUCCAGACUCCUACGGGAGGCAGCAGUCAGGAAUAUUGGGCAAUGGAGGAAACUCUGACCCAGCAACGCCGCGUGAACGAUGAAGGUCUUCGGAUUGUAAAGUUCUUUCACUUAUGAAGAUAAUGACGGUAGUAAGAGAAGAAGCUCCGGCAAACUUCGUGCCAGCAGCCGCGGUAAUACGAAGGGAGCAAGCGUUGUUCGGAAUGAUUGGGCGUAAAGGGUGCGUAGGUGGUUUAUUAAGUGAAAUGUUAAAUGUUUGGGCUCAGCCCAAUUUCGCAUUUCAUACUGAUAGACUAGAGGAUAAUAGAGGGAACAAGAAUUUCUAGGGGAGCGGUGAAAUGCACAGAUCCUAGAAGGAAUACCAGAGGCGUAGGCGAGUUCCUGGGUCACACCUGACACUGAGGCACGAAAGCGUGGGGAGCAAACAGGAUUAGAUACCCUGGUAGUCCACGCCCUAAACGAUGAGUGCUAGGUAUCGGAAAUUUUAUAUUUUCGGUGUCGUAGCUAACGCGUUAAGCACUCCGCCUGGGGAGUACGAUCGCAAGAUUAAAACUUAAAGAAAUUGACGGGGGCCUGCACAAGCGGUGGAGCAUGUGGUUUAAUUCGACGAUCCGCGCAAAACCUUACCAACUUUUGACAUGUAAAUUAGAGAGAUGUGAAAGCAUCUUGUCAGUUCGGCUGGAUUUACACAGGUGUUGCAUGGCUGUCGUCAGCUCGUGUCGUGAGAUGUUGGGUUAAGUCCCUCAACGAGCGCGACCCUUGUCGUUAGUUGCCAGCGAGUAAUGUCGGGAACUUUAACGAGACUGCCGGUGAUAAACCGGAGGAAGGUGGGGAUGACGUCAAGUCCUCAUGGCCUUUAUAAGUUGGGCUACACAUGUGCUACAAUGGCGUUAACAGAAAGAAGCAAACGGGUAACCGCAAGCAAAUCUCAAAAAAACGUCUCAGUUCGGAUUGUUCUCUGCAACUCGAGAACAUGAAGUAGGAAUCGCUAGUAAUCGCAGAUCAGCACGCUGCGGUGAAUAAGUUCACAGGCCUUGUACACACCGCCCGUCAAGCCAUGAAAAUCGAUUUUAUCCGAAGAUGGUGAGCGAACUCGUAAGAGACGCAGCCAGUUACGGUAAGAUUGGUAAUUGGGGUUAAGUCGAAACAAGGUA